CAAAAGUUUGGUCCUAACUUUACUGUCAACUUCAACUAAACUUACACAUGCAAGUAUCCGCACUCCCGUGAGAAUGCCCUUUCAUUUCUUCUGAUAAUAAGGAGCUGGUAUCAGGCACACAACUGUAGCCCAUUACACCUUGCUUAGCCACACCCUCAAGGGCAUUCAGCAGUGAUUAACUUUGAAUAAUAAGUGAAAGCUUGAAUCAGUUAAAGUUAUAAGGGUCGGUAAAACUCGUGCCAGCCACCGCGGUUAUACGAGAGACUCAAGCUGACAGAAAUCGGCGUAAAGAGUGGUUAGAAAAACAAGACACUAAAGCUGAACACUUUUUUAGCCGUUUAAUGCUUACGAAAGCUAGAAAUCCUAUUACGAAAGUAGCUUUAACUCCUUGACUCCACGAAAGCUAUGAAACAAACUGGGAUUAGAUACCCCACUAUG
rnacentral:rRNA from 1 species